rnacentral:rRNA from 1 species
UACGGGGGGGGCAAGGCGUUGUUCGGAAUUACUGGGCGUAAAGGGCGCGUAGGCGGUCCCGUAAGUUCCGCGUGAAAUCCCCCGGCUCAACCGGGGAAUGGCGCGGAAAACUGCGGGGCUUGAGUUCGGGAGAGGGAUGCGGAAUUCCAGGUGUAGCGGAUGAAAUGCGUAGAUAUCUGGAGGAACACCGGUGGCGAAGGCGGCAUCCUGGACCGAGAUUGACGCUGAGGCGCGAAAGCCAGGGGGAGCAAAACGGG